UGCAGGAUACAUAAGUGGUAUAUUUGAAAAAUCAAUUUUUUAUCUCUCCUGUACGGGUAUGUCAAGUUAUAACCAACCUUUAUACGCUGUGAAAAAAUGAGUAGAGCGCGACUGGGCGAUUGAUUUACCAUGCUGAGGCAGCCGAAAUUAUCUGGCAUUUAAACAUAGUCAAUGACACGCCACGGUCUCAAAAAGUAGCUGUAUGUAAACGUGAUCACAUUCCAGGGGUUUUAAAUGACUCCGAACUAUAUCUACCCAUUUCAUAAAUUCAUACUUACCUAACGACAUUCGGACAGGUAGGAUCGUCAAGAUAACACUUCUUGAUAGGAUUUAUCUUCAGACAUGAUGGAUCUAUUCAAGUACCCGGUGCAUUUAAGAUAAAGUGUCGAAUAUCUCCUACCCUGUGUUGCCAAUGUAACUUACACAAGGGAAGAAGGAAAGAAGCUUGAAUAUUUGAAAGAAACAGAAUCACCGUGUAAUCAUGUAUGAAUAUACACUGUGUUUGGUUUGAUCCCGUCACCGGGUGACUAGUGGUGAAGGAGGAACGUGUUGGUGCACUCGGAUUAUUUUACCUAAAAAUAUGGCGCGGCGUCAUCGGAACACAUACAUGUAUCAAUCUGUGAUACAAUGUGGCUCGAUGUGGAUGGUUGAUUACAGACAGUGGGCUGGUACCAGAGGAAUGGCUAGUUGGAAUUAUUAAACCGAUAUAUAAGAACAAGAGUGAUCCCACUUCUCCGGGAAACUACCGACCCAUUACGUUACUAAGCUGUUUGGGUAAAUUAUUUACGUCCAUUUUAAUAGAAUUGUAUUCAGAAGAGAUAAAACUGAUCCAUAAUAACCAAGCGGGUUUCAGGAAAGGUUUUUCUACUUUAGACCACAUUCUUACUUUACAAUUUUUAUCCAAUACGUUGAUGAAGUGUAAGAAAAAACUGUUCUGUGCUUUUAUAGGUUUUAAACAGGCGUUUGACACAGUUUGGAAAAAUGGUUUAUUGUGCAAGCUCUUAAAUUAUGGUAUCAAUGGUAAAUGUUUUAAAUAUAUUACAAAUAUGUAUAAAGGUAUCGGUAUUAAAUCACUCCUCAAGAUGAAUGACACGGUAUCCGACUUUUUUUUCUUGUAAUGUUGGAGUCCGCCAAGGAAAAAAUUUGUCACCAUUUUUGUUUUCAUUGUACAUAAAUGAUUUAGAAAAUUAUCUUGUUGAAAAAAAUAUUACUGGUCUGCAAAGUUUUACCACAGCAAUAGAAAAUGAAUUAUGUAUAUAUAUAAAUCUGCUAAUACUUCUUUAUGCAGACGAUACUGUUAUCUUGGCGGAAUCUGGCGAUGAUUUGCAGAACGCACUGAAUGAGUUUGAAAGUUAUUGUAAAGAGUGAAAAUUAAAUGUUAAUAGCGAGCACAGCUCGCCGGCGAACGAAGCGAGCUCUAAGAACCAGUGUGCGCUGGAAAAAGAACGAGCUAAACCUACAGUUCAUCAAACAAAAUUUUUUGUCUACGUCCCAUAAUGCUCUCUAAUGUUUUCACCCGUGGUGCUAUGCCAAAAAUGGCCGACUUUUAACUCGUAUUUUACGGUGUCUUAAAGUUUGAAGACACGUUUUGAGUACCGCAUAUGCUUUGGCGAGACUCAAAAGAUUUGUUACAUGCUUCCAUACCUUCGUAUUGAGUCGAGAAACGUACACAAAGACGAACAAAGUCAUGGAUGACGUCACAGUGCUCUCGCGCUAUAUUUCCCGCGAUAAAUUUAGAGGUGGAUCAAACAUCUGUAAUGAGUGUACUAGCUAUUUCAGUAUAGACUGCGAUACCUGCCUCAUUGACAUAUGAUUUAAGAGCUGGCUCUUUUUAAAAGCCAAAAUAAACAUUUAUGUGACCAAGCCAAAAAGGCAAUGUAUGGUGUCAUUAGAAAAAUUAGACAAUUUAAUCUACCAGUUACAUGUCAAUUAGAACUCUUUGAUAAAAUGGUUAUACCUGUAUUGCUAUAUGGUUGCGAAGUAUUGGGUUUUGAAAAACUUGAUAGUAUUGAACGUGUUCACUUAAAGUUUUUAAAGCAUAUUUUAUGUUUAUGUACUUCAAACUAUAUGGUUUACGGAGAAACAGGUCGUUUUCCUUAUAUCUGUAAUUGCAUUUACUAGAAUGGCAUCAUACUGUGUAAAUUAAUUUCUAGUACUAAUACUAGCAUUACAAAUUAUAUUAUGAAUAAAAUCUGUCAAAAUCGUAAAUCUUCAGUAUCUCCAAAUUUCUUGUCAAUACCUUUACUGCUGAAUUAUGAGCGUUUAAAUUGAGCAUGGCCGAUAAAAAAAUUGAAUGCGUAAGACAUACAUCGUACCGCAUAUAGAAUGUUUUUAACAAAAUAUGUACAGCACAUUGCUGGGAUUUAGUAACAAACUGUAUAGCAACAGUGAGUGUGUAGUACAGUAAUAAUAUGUACAACCCAUCGAUUUAAGGUAAGGUUUGGAUUUUUGUAGGCACUGUACAAAAGUUACAUACCAUUUUGUUAACUAUACUUAAGUCUUUUAUUCACAUAAAACUCAAAAAAUUUUGCCGGACCCGUU